rnacentral:rRNA from 1 species
UACGUAGGGAGCAAGCGUUGUCCGGAAUCAUUGGGCGUAAAGCGCGCGUAGGUGGCUUCGUAAGUCCGUUGUGAAAGUCAAAGGCUCAACCUUUGAAAGCCGAUGGAUACUGCGGAGCUAGAGUACGGAAGAGGCGAGUGGAAUUCCUGGUGUAGCGGUGGAAUGCGCAGAUAUCAGGAGGAACACCGGUGGCGAAGGCGGGGUCUCGUGGGCAGGUAACUGACGCUGGAGGAGCGAAAGCGUGGGGAGCGAACAGG